rnacentral:rRNA from 1 species
GUAGGUGGCAAGCGUUGUCCGGAAUUAUCGGGCGUAAAGCGCGCGCAGGCGGUUCUUUAAGUCUGAUGUGAAAGCCCACGGGCUCAACCGUGGAGGGUCAUUGGAAACUGGAGAACUUGAGUACAGAAGAGGAAAGCGGAAUUCCACGUGUAGCGGUGAAAUGCGUAGAGAUGUGGAGGAACACCAGUGGCGAAGGCGGCUUUCUGGUCUGUAACUGACGCUGAGGCGCGAAAGCGUGGGGAGCAAACAGGAUUAGACACCCAGGUAGUCCACGCCGUAAACGAUGAGUGCUAAGUGUUAGGGGGUUUCCGCCCCUUAGUGCUGCAGUUAACGCAUUAAGCACUCCGCCUGGGGAGUACGGCCGCAAAGGCUG